UAUUAAAAAAAUAUUGGACCAUUAACUUUAGUCAAAACGACAUUAUGCUACAUCUUCAAAUUCAAUUAGAAGAGUUGAAUAUUGCAUGAUUAAGAGGUUAACCACUUACUCUGAGUUAACUUAGCCAGGUUUGUCACCAAACUACGUACUUUGAAUACUCCCCAGGAAGUGACAUCGAAAGUAAAUAGACAGUUGGUGUUGAGGAAGCUGUGUUAUAAUCCAAAAGCGCAAACCGUCUCGAUUUAAGGAAGUGACAUCGAAAGUAAACAGUUGGAGUUGAGGAAGCUGUGUUAUAAUCCAAAAGCGCAAACCGUCUUGAUUUUAGCAACACUGGAUUAUUGCAGACAGAAUUUAACAGAAGCAGAAGUCUAAAUGAGAGAGACAGGUGUGUAUGUAUGUGUGUGUGUGUGUGUGUGUGUGUGUGUGUGUGUGUGUGUGUGUGUGUGUGUGUGUGUGUGUGUGUGUGUGUGUGUAUGUAAGUGUGUAUAUAGAGUGUGCAUUUCUGGCGAAAUCAAAUGAUUGUCUUUCCUCCUUGAUCAGGUUUGCAUUCUUCUUAGCCUAAUAUCUCUGGCCUAAAUAUCUGAAAGUAAUCAGUAAUGUAGGUGUGCUUCAGGCAAUUAUGACAGACAACAAAAUACAAUGAAUAUCUUUUCACUAAUAAACAUAUUCGAGUGAAACUGGAAUCUGAAUUAAGACUGGAAAGAAGGAGUAAUGUCAUCAGAUUUCAGAUGGCAACUUCGAUUAAGUUAUCACAGUAAAUCCCAUCGAUUAUGUGUG
ensembl:lncRNA